rnacentral:rRNA from 1 species
AACCUGGUUGGGUGGUCUGCCUUCACGGUACGUACUGCUUGGCCGGGUUCUACCUCUUGGUGAGCCGGCAUGCCCUUCACUGGGUGUGUCGGGGAACCAGGACUUUUACCUUGAGAAAAUUAGAGUGUUCAAAGCAGGCGCACGCUUGCAUAGAUUAGCAUGGAAUAAUGGAAUAGGACC